GACAGAGGUGCCGAGCGUUAGGCGGAAUCACUGGGCUUAAAGCGUGUGUAGGCGGCCCGUUAAGUGUCUUGUGAAAUCCCCCGGCUCAACCGGGGAACGGCUGGGCAUACUGGCGGGCUUGGGUCGCUCAGGGGCAGACGGAACAGGCGGUGGAGCGGUGAAAUGCAUAGAUAUCGCCUGGAACGCCGAAGGUGAAAACAGUCUGCUGGGGGCGCACCGACGCUGAGACACGAAAGCCAGGGGAGCGAACGGG
rnacentral:rRNA from 1 species